AUUGAACGCUGGCGGCAGGCCUAACACAUGCAAGUCGAGCGAGCGGCGGACGGGUGAGUAAUGUCUGGGAAACUGCCUGAUGGAGGGGGAUAACUACUGGAAACGGUAGCUAAUACCGCAUACCAUCAGAUGUGCCCAGAUGGGAUUAGCUAGUAGGUGGGGUAAUGGCUCACCUAGGCGACGAUCCCUAGCUGGUCUGAGAGGAUGACCAGCAACACUGGAACGGAGACACGGUCCAGACUCCUACGGGAGGCAGAAGGGGGGAAUAGUGCACAAUGGGCGCAAGCCUGAUGCAGCCAUGCCGCGUGUAUGAAGAAGGCCUGCGGGUUGUAAAGUACUUUCAGCGAGGAGGCGUUACUCGCAGAAGAAGCACCGGCUAACUCCGUGCCAGCCGCCGCGGUAAUUC
rnacentral:rRNA from 1 species